AGAGUUUGAUCCUGGCUCAGGAUGAACGCUGGCGGCAUGCCUAAUACAUGCAAGUCGAACGAGGGUCCUUCGGGACUCGAGUGGCGAACGGGUGAGUAACACGUAGGGAACCUGCCCGUGCGACCGGGAGAACUUUCGGAAACGGAAGCUGAUACCGGAUAGGGACAGAGACGGCAUCGACUCUGUGUUAAAGGAGCCGAAAGGCUCCGCGCACGGAUGGACCUGCGGUGCAUUAGCUAGUUGGUGAGGUAACGGCCCACCAAGGCGACGAUGCAUAGCCGGCCUGAGAGGGCGGACGGCCACACUGGGACUGAGACACGGCCCAGACUCCUACGGGAGGCAGCAGUAGGGAAUUUUCGUCAAUGGGCGCAAGCCUGAACGAGCAAUGCCGCGUGAACGAGGAAGGUCUUCGGAUCGUAAAGUUCUGUUGAAGGGGAAAAAGAGCGGAGAGAGGAAAUGGUCUCCGAUUGAUAUUACCCUUCGAGGAAGUCACGGCUAACUACGUGCCAGCAGCCGCGGUAAUACGUAGGUGGCGAGCGUUAUCCGGAAUGAUUGGGCGUAAAGGGUGCGUAGGCGGCCUGCUAAGUCUGGAGUGAAAGGUACCCGGCUCAGCCGGUACAGGCUCUGGAAACUGGCGGGCUAAAGAGCAGGAGAGGGCGGUGGAACUCCAUGUGUAGCGGUAAAAUGCGUAGAUAUAUGGAAGAACACCAGUGGCGAAGGCGGCCGCCUGGCCUGUUACUGACGCUGAGGCACGAAAGCGUGGGGAGCAAAUAGGAUUAGAUACCCUAGUAGUCCACGCCGUAAACGAUGAGGACCAAGUGUUGGGGAAGACCCAGUGCUGCAGUUAACGCAGUGAGUCCUCCGCCUGGGGAGUAUGCACGCAAGUGUGAAACUCAAAGGAAUUGACGGGGGCCCGCACAAGCGGUGGAGUAUGUGGUUUAAUUCGAAGCAACGCGAAGAACCUUACCAGGCCUUGACAUAGGGUGCGAAGGUAUAGAGAUAUACUGGAGGUUAACAUCCAUACAGGUGGUGCAUGGUUGUCGUCAGCUCGUGUCGUGAGAUGUUCAGUUAAGUCUGGCAACGAGCGCAACCCUCGUGAUGUGUUACCAAUAUCGAGUUAGGGACUCACAUCAGACUGCCGGUGAGAAACCGGAGGAAGGCGGGGAUGACGUCAAAUCAUCAUGCCCCUUAUGGCCUGGGCUACACACGUACUACAAUGGCGGCGACAGAGGGCAGCGAGCCUGCGAAGGCAAGCGAAUCCCAAAAAAGCCGUCCCAGUUCGGAUUGGAGUCUGCAACCCGACUCCAUGAAGUUGGAAUCGCUAGUAAUCGCGGAUCAGCAUGCCGCGGUGAAUACGUUCUCGGGCCUUGCACUCACCGCCCGUCA
rnacentral:rRNA from 1 species